UACGGAAGGGGCAAGCGUUGUUCGGAAUCAUUGGGCGUAAAGGGCGCGUAGGUGGCUCUGUGUGUCUACCGUGAAAGCGUACGGCUCAACCGUAUUUUGUCGGUAGAAACUGCAGGACUUGAGGCUGGGAGGGGCUGGUGGAAUUCCCUGUGUAGCGGUGAAAUGCGUAGAGAUGGGGGAGAACACUCGUGGCGAAGGCGGCCAGCUAGACCAGUUCUGACACUGAGGCGCGACAGCGUGGGGAGCAACAGG
rnacentral:rRNA from 1 species